rnacentral:lncRNA from 1 species
AUGCUCCCAUGGCUCCAACUUUGUCCCUAGAACCUCAGCAAGAGGUCUACAUAUCCGGGGACUAUGUCAAGCUACUCUGCUCUGUCCCGUCAUCUGCAGACUAUGUUAGAGAAAUCCAGUACUAUGGGGACUUUGGACUUGCAAUCUCUAUCCCAGUAUCAGACAUUAAAAACUACAGCUACAACCUCAGUAUCACUGGAAAGGAGGUCUCUGGGUUUUACAGUUGUGCCUAUUUUGUAUUUUGGUCUACACGUCCUGUUCGCUCAGAGAGGAGUCACUGGGUCCAUGUCUAUGUGAAAAGCCAGAAAAUCAGCUGGAUCCGAGAGAUUGCUGUGGGUGGCUCAUUCUUUACCAUCAAUGGCCUCAUCUUUUUCUUCUCCCACUGCCUGAUGAAGAGAAGAGGUAAAUGCUAUAUUUUCAUCAGGACACACUGAUUCUUAUAAUCCUGGGACUUUAUUUUCUUUUCCAAAAAUGAUCCACUUUUUGUUAUUUCACAUUCCUUUGAAAGGAAAAAAAAACAAAAAACAAAAAACAAAAAACAAAAAACACUUGUUCAAAGCGUUUUGGGGGGAAUGUUCUGGUCAGAGAAUUUGAACAGGAUCUCUCUUUACCAUCCUUCCUCAUUUGGCCCCCAAACUUGUCUCCUUUAGAGGUCUGAGACUAAAGAAAGCAAUUUCAGAUGCUGUUGCUCCUUUCUUUGCAGAUCUGGAGGAGGGAUUCGGGAUGGAAUAACAAUAUGAAGCAGAAGAAACAUCCCCAAAGGCUUUUUGCCCUAUUUAGUAAAGGCAAUCCAUUCCCUAGGACCUUGCCUAAUUCCCUCUUGCCUGUUUCAGUGUCCCCAAAAGACAACAGUGGUGAAUGCUGAACUGAAAUUACUUGGCCUGCUUCUCUCCUCUGUGCCUUCAAACGUCUCACAUCUCUCUGAUUAAAUCUGGGUGUUGUAUCUUUGUGGUGUGGGUUUCAUCAAAAGAUAUCCUCCAUCCUGGAGAAUGUGUUCGUGUGUGUUUGUGCAUGUGUGUGUGCAUCUGCUCCACCACACAUGUAACUCCACCAUGUUAUCAUUAAAUCCGGUUCUUACUUUCAUCUGAAAUUCAGACUCCUUUGUGGUACACCACUGCACCUU